GGGCGCUUGGCGCAGCGGGAGCGCAGGACCCUUACAAGGUCAAGGUCGGGGGUUCAAAUCCCUCAGCGCCCACCA
rnacentral:tRNA from 1 species